CGUCAACAGGCACCUCCAAGCCCCGCGCUGUCCGUACACCGCACCGGCUGCGCCGUGGCCUGGAGGAAGAGCUGUGCAAUAGCCUGGCCCCGGCCCGCUACUUCUAAUUCCCGCUGGUGCACUUAUACCGCUUAAGCAGCGCUGCCUCAGAGGGACCUCUGCAGAAAUGAAGAAGACGAUUAAUAAUGGCUACCUAUGUCCCUCACUGAUACCACAGAUGGUGCCCAACGUCGCCAAGUGACUAGGCGGAGGAAAGUUCACAGAGGAGGAAUACACGAGAUAAGGACAUGGGAAAAUGAAGAGAGAGAAAAGGCAAAAAGAAGAAAUGAAAGUUUGGAAGAAGGGAGGUACGUAAACUCGUGUUUAGUAUUUCCUACAGUCUGGGUGGGG
rnacentral:lncRNA from 1 species